AGCUCCAAUAGCGUAUAUUAAAGUUGUUGCAGUUAAAAAGCUCGUAGUUGGAUUUCUGGUGUGAGGGAACGGUCCGACCUCUGGUGGGUACUUGCUUCCUCUCACGCCAUCCUUGAGUGGUGCGUUCUGGCAUUCAGUUGUCGGGACGUUAGCCGCUCAUCGUUUACUGCGAGAAAAUUAGAGUGUUCAAAGCAGGCCAGGCUUAUGCCGUUGAAUAUAUUAGCAUGGAAUAAUAAGAUAGGACUUCGGUACUAUUUUGUUGGUUUGCGCACCGAUGUAAUGAUCAAUAGGGACAGUUGGGGGUAUUCGUAUUCAGUUGUCAGAGGUGAAAUUCUUAGAUUUACGGAAGACGAACUACUGCGAAAGCAUUUACCAAGGAUGUUUUCA
rnacentral:rRNA from 1 species